rnacentral:rRNA from 1 species
GAUGAACGCUGGCGGCGUGCUUAACACAUGCAAGUCGAACGGAGUGCUCAUGACGGAGGAUUCGUCCAACGGAUUGAGUUACUUAGUGGCGGACGGGUGAGUAACGCGUGAGGAACCUGCCUCGGAGUGGGGAAUAACAGCCCGAAAGGGUUGCUAAUACCGCAUGAUGCAGCUGGGUCGCAUGACCCUGGCUGCCAAAGAUUUAUCGCUCUGAGAUGGCCUCGCGUCUGAUUAGCUAGUAGGCGGGGUAACGGCCCACCUAGGCGACGAUCAGUAGCCGGACUGAGAGGUUGACCGGCCACAUUGGGACUGAGACACGGCCCAGACUCCUACGGGAGGCAGCAGUGGGGAAUAUUGGGCAAUGGGCGCAAGCCUGACCCAGCAACGCCGCGUGAAGGAAGAAGGCCCUCGGGUUGUAAACUUCUUUUAUCAGGGACGAAUAGAUGACGGUACCUGAUGAAUAAGCCACGGCUAACUACGUGCCAGCAGCCGCGGUAAUACGUAGGUGGCAAGCGUUAUCCGGAUUUACUGGGUGUAAAGGGCGUGUGGGCGGGACUGCAAGUCAGAUGUGAAAACUAUGGGCUCAACCCAUAGCCUGCAUUUGAAACUGUAGUUCUUGAGUGCUGGAGAGGCAAUCGGAAUUCCUAGUGUAGCGGUGAAAUGCGUAGAUAUUAGGAGGAACACCAGUGGCGAANGCGGAUUGCUGGACAGUAACUGACGCUGAGGCGCGAAAGCGUGGGGAGCAAACAGG